GACCCUUUUCACACAGUAUGUUUUGUUACCUCCCCUUGGUAGAACUCUUUUGCGUUUCGAUCGAAAACGAGGCGACCGGUGUUGACUUGUUUGUUGACAAAGAUCGAGUCGAAGAUUCGCUGUACCGGCUAUGGCAGAUAUGCUGAAAUCCAAUGGGAAGCAGUGUUCUGUUUAUGGAUGCGACAACUUUGCCUUCAAGAAAGAUGGAACUAGCACAGGAUACAUUUUUUUUCAAAGACUGAAAAAGGUUUUGGAACACAGGAAAUUAAAGCUGUGCUCGUAUUCUUUGAUAAAUAUAUGAAUGGAGCACAUUUCCAUUGGACUUAUAAGUAAAAACUGGACAUUAAAACCUGACCGGGCACCAAAAGUCUUCUCAUGGAUAACUGUACAUACUCCUAGAAAAAGUCCAUUGAAGAGGUCAACAACCAUGAAUGAGACUACCACUGGAAUCGGUUGUGGAUGAUUAUGAGAAUUUGGAUGUUUCUGAAGUACAUGUAUUUGGAGUACGUGGAAAUUGGAAUUCAAGCAGGUCCUGGCACUAGUGAUGUAGGCUGCCAGACAGAUGAUGGUGAUGUGAUAAAUGUCUGUGAUCAUAACCACUCUAGCGACCACAUUCUUGACCACAUUUACAGUUUUCAUGCCGAUGAUGAUGGCGAGAAUGAAAUUGAAAAUCUACAGAUAGAAAUUGAAAAACUGUCAACACAAA